CUCACGGAGCCAUGUUGGGUCCGGGCAGCCGCCGUGUCCGCGGAGGGAUGGGGUGGCGGAAGGCGGUGUGUCCAGUCUCCUGUGAAAUGUGACAGGCAAACCUUCUGAAGAAGAAAUACCUCUGCUCUUGCCUAGGCAGAGAGGAAUGGGAAGCAGUGUGUGUGGUAUCAUCUCAAUCCAGCUCUGGGGGCUGGAGCUCCAGAAAGACUUAGUAAUGAGGAAGUGCUGCAGAUAUCCAGAGCACUGUUAUCCCGAGAUGCAGAUCCAGGAUGGUGGCAGCUGCUUUUACCUUCAUGUCCUCAGAAGCAGGAGAAGCUGCAGGGUCACAGCAGCGGGAUGAUCAGAUGGCUCUUGGAGGGGGUGGAAGGAGCCCAAGCAGCAGUGGAGGACGUUGCAGCAGCAGGUAUGAGACACGUUGGGAAUAGCUGUGCUUUUGAGGCCCUUCUCUGGUCUGAACUGCUUGACUGACUUGCUCUCCUUGUAUUCCAUCCCAUGCUCUGUUGACAGUGCUGGGCUUCAGGGAUUACUUUUAAGUGCACUCUUUCCUGCUGGUGUAUUGAUGAUUCAUACUAUUAGGAGAGGCAGAAGCCUUUCCAUGCCUUAGUGAAAAUGAUGUAUUUCCUAAUGUCUCCUUACUCUUAGCAGGGCUUAUGCUCUGUUCCCAAAACUCCCGCUGUUUUCACUGCAAGCAUGACCAGACUGUGAAAUAGCUUGGCUGGGCCUGCUGAAUAAUCUGGUUUAGUCUCUUCUAAUAAACUGCAGUUGUAUUUA
rnacentral:lncRNA from 1 species